rnacentral:rRNA from 1 species
UACGAAGGGGGCUAGCGUUGCUCGGAAUCACUGGGCGUAAAGGGCGCGUAGGCGGCGUUUUAAGUCGGGGGUGAAAGCCUGUGGCUCAACCACAGAAUGGCCUUCGAUACUGGGACGCUUGAGUCUGGUAGAGGUUGGUGGAACUGCGAGUGUAGAGGUGAAAUUCGUAGAUAUUCGCAAGAACACCGGUGGCGAAGGCGGCCAACUGGACCAGUACUGACGCUGAGGCGCGAAAGCGUGGGGAGCAAACAGG